rnacentral:tRNA from 1 species
GCGGGUAUAGCUUAGUGGUAGAGCCCUAGCCUUCCAAGCUAGUGGUGUGGGUCCGAUUCCCAUUACCCGCUC